rnacentral:rRNA from 1 species
ACACGACUACAUUAGAUACCCCUGUAGUCCCAGCCCUAACGAUGCGCGUUAGGUGUAUCGGUGACCACGAGUCACCGAGGUGCCGAGGGAAACCGUGAAACGUGCCGCCUGGGAAGUACGGUCGCAAGGCUGAAACUUAAAGGAAUUGGCGGGGAGCACCACAACGGGUGGAGCCUGCGGUUUAAUUGGAUUCAACGCCGGACAUCUCACCGGAUAAGACAGCUGAAUGAUUGUCAAUCUGAAGGUUUUACAUGACUAGCUG